rnacentral:rRNA from 1 species
AGUGAACGCUGGCGGUAGGCCUAACACAUGCAAGUCGAACGGCAGCACAGUAAGAGCUUGCUCUUACGGGUUGCGAGUGGCGGACGGGUGAGGAAUACAUCGGAAUCUACUUUUUCGUGGGGGAUAACGUAGGGAAACUUACGCUAAUACCGCAUACGACCUACGGGUGAAAGCAGGGGAUCUUCGGACCUUGCGCGAUUGAAUGAGCCGAUGUCGGAUUAGCUAGUUGGCGGGGUAAAGGCCCACCAAGGCGACGAUCCCUAGCUGGUCUGAGAGGAUGAUCAGCCACACUGGAACUGAGACACGGUCCAGACUCCUACGGGAGGCAGCAGUGGGGAAUAUUGGACAAUGGGCGCAAGCCUGAUCCAGCCAUACCGCGUGGGUGAAGAAGGCCUUCGGGUUAUAAAGCCCUUUUGUUGGGAAAGAAAAGCAGCAGGUUAAUACCCCGCUGUUCUGACGGUACCCAAAGAAUAAGCACCGGCUAACUUCGUG